rnacentral:rRNA from 1 species
UACGGGGGGGGUAAGCGUUGUUCGGAAUUACUGGGCGUAAAGGGCUCGUAGGCGGCCAACUAAGUCGGACGUGAAAUCCCUCAGCUUAACUGGGGAACUGCGUCCGAUACUGGAUGGCUUGGAUUUGGGAGAGGGAUGCGGAAUUCCAGGUGUAGCGGUGAAAUGCGUAGAUAUCAGGAGGAACACCCAUGGCGAAGGCAGCAAACUGGUCAUCAACUGACGCUGAGGCGCGAAAGCGUGGGUAGCAAACAGG